UUCACAACAUUCCCCCUCCAAUUAAUCCCCAGCCACCCCGCUGUGUGUGAAUGGGUUGUGCUGGGGAUUCGUAGCUCUGAUGCGGGGGAUUUGCUGAUUCCUUUGAGCCCCCUGAGGAGAGGUGAUAUGGAGAGCAAAUAAUCAGCAUGCAGCACGGAGGCGAGAGAGGACAAAGAGGCUUAGAAAUUCCUAACCAGCACGGGGUCACAGACUGGAAGUGGUAACUGGAGUCUUCAGAAUUCCAUCACCUUCAGUUGCUUGCCUGCUGGAAUGACAUGGAUUCUCAUCCCUGAGGAAGUAAUUCUGGAUUCCUUCUCAUGAUAAUGAAGAUCAGUUACCCUUGAGAAGACAAUAACUCCUUUCUUGCCUAUUGUUUCCUGGUAUAAGGAGCUCAAAGUGGAGAGGGUUCUGCAUGCCUGCAGCCCUGGGAGACAGAGCAAGUUCAGAAACCUGGUUUAUGCUAGUUUUACAAAGGAGAAAACAGGAUUGGAGAAAUU